GAUCUGUUCUAGCUCAGCUGGUCAGAGCAUGGUGCUAAUAAUGGCAAGAUUGUAGGUUUGAUUCCCAUAUGGGCCA